rnacentral:lncRNA from 1 species
UCAUAUGCAACGGGAAUAAUUGCUCUACUUAUCAUGCAAAAUAUAUUUUACUCAACAUGGUCAAAGGGCUGCUUGCCUUUGCUCACACAAGUCAUCGGGGUAUUCGAGGUCUUCCGGUCCAACUCCGAGUACUCCCUCUACUCCGUCAACUAACGUCGGAUACAACACAGUAAGCCAUACAGCAAGCAGAAACAAAAGUGCUAUAAAAAUGGUAUUUUCAAUUUCCUUGGACUUAUCUGGUCAUAAGAAAAAUACCUGAAGCUUGUUAUAGGGGAUUUGGACCAUCAGAGAUUUUUGAAUGGAUGAAAGGAAGGAUAGGUGAUCCUUAUAGAAGCCUACAGAAAACA